rnacentral:sRNA from 1 species
GUUUUGCGUUAGGGAUAGCAGUGAAAAUCCUGCCUAAGCAGAUUGAAACGUAUAGCCCGACCUGAG